rnacentral:snRNA from 1 species
CCGAAUACACCAGCUACA